GCAUGAUAUUCCAACCCCCAAACAAUCCCGAGUGAAAGGCCUGGCCACCUCUGUUGACAUGUGUAACAAUAUGUUGAAUUUGCCAUGGGCCUUUAAAGCUUCAAUGUUGUGAAGAGCUCUGCAUGAAAUUUUAAAGAGACUGGACCUUUCAUCUGCACAACAGCAGGGCACCUCGCUAUAGGGACAAGAAAGGAAGAGAGAGAGAGAACAUUUCUGAAGUAAUAGUGAAAAAUAACAGCAGAAGCAAUUAUUUCAUCAAAGAUUGCAGGGAGAGGCUCCUCCGUGCUCCUGAGAGGCCGAACACAGGGUCGCCAGCACAGCUUACUGCUCGGUGUCUCCUGAGCCACAGAGGAAGACGUGGCAGGAGCACCUGGUGCUAAUAUAUAUUCAUGUCUAUGGCAAUGCCGACCAUCUGGCUGGUCUGAACCAGGAUAAAAGUGAAGAAUUCCUCUGUGAAGACCCAGCUCUUUCUUUGGCUCCUUUUUUGAAGCCAUCUUUGCUCUGCUCUCCUCUGCUGCCCAGAAAGUUCCAGAGUGAAGCUCAGCUCUAGAUGAACAAAAACUGGUUGAGUCCAGAGAUGCCUGAGUUGGAGAUGAACCUUGCAAACUUUCCUCAUUACCAUACUAAAAACCCCACCCAGGAAGGAGCUUAUCUGCCAUUUCCUACACAUGUGACAUAUGGAGAAGCAUGAUCAGCUACUUCACAGUCUCUGCCUUUACUCUGCCUCCGCAUACAAUGGCUCAGCCAACUAGCCUAACGAAAGCUGUUUUCACCAUUGUUUGGGAGGUACUGCUUUGGGAAACUGCCCCAGCUGUCCUCCUUACUUGUUGUAGGUAAUAAAAUCCCUUUGUUAAAUCUUC
rnacentral:lncRNA from 1 species